AGAGAGUAAGGACCAGGUCUUCUAUUUCUUUCUUACAUCCCUCCUCCUCACCCUGCUCUGUGUCUAGAAGAGAGCUGAACACGCAGUAGAUUUUCAAGUGAGCAGGAAACCGGGAAAGAUAAAUGAAAAGUUGAGUGGUAUUGUUAAAGGACAAAUGGUCUCUACGGCUGUAAGGUAACAUAUAAUUAACCUCAGAUUCAGGCCAGGACUCAGAUAAUAGAAGUGCUCAAUUCAAAAGAAACUCACAAACCACCUGAAAUAACACAAUAAAUUAUAUUCAAAUGGCAGUCAAGGAGGAAACUUUUCUUCCUCAUCAACAAAGCUGAUCGAUGGGGGCUGAAGCCCCAGGGAAGAAGCAUCUGUUGUAACUCAAGGAUCCCGGCUUGAGCUGAGGAUGGAAUUAACAGGCACAGAGUGGUUGGCAGCCCAACGUUUGUGCAAGUCUGGCACAUGCACACAUCAUUAGCAACUAUGCUGGAGAAGAAUGAUCAAGGAGGUGAGGAGGAGAAUGGAUCUGAUUAAAGGGAUGUUCAAGAAAGGAAAUUCCAAGCACUUGGGUAAAAGCUUCAUAGCUAAAAUGAAUGAACUCAUGAGCAAAGCAAACAGCCAGGUACAUUUGGGAGAUGCUGACAGACAAUCUGGAUAAUUUUGCCUCUGAAACUUUCAAAACACAGUCAUUUCAUGCAGUGAAUUCCCCAGAGUGGCUGCCUCUUUCACUUAGCUCCUUCGGCUGUGUCUCCUUCACUAAAAUGAAGCCCCCAUGAAGGCAAAAAUUUUGCUGUCUUGUUCACGGCUCCAAUCUUGGCUCCUGGUUGAGAAUAUUAAAUAUUCAUGGAAUAA